rnacentral:tRNA from 1 species
GCGCUGGUGGUUUAGUGGUAGAAUGAAAGCUUCCCAAGCUUUUGAUCCGGGUUCGAUUCCCGGCCAGCGCA